AUACGUAGGUGGCAAGCGUUGUCCGGAUUUACUGGGUGUACAGGGCGUGUAGGCGGAGAUGCAAGUCAGGAGUGAAAUCUAGGGGCUCAACCCCUAAACUGCUUUUGAAACUGUAUCCCUUGAGUAUCGGAGAGGCAGGCGGAAUUCCUUAUGUAGCGGUGGAAAGUGUAGAUAUUAGGAGGAACACCAGUGGCGAAGGCGGCCUGCUGGACGACAACUGACGCUGAGGCGCGAAAGCGUGGGGAGCAAACAGGAUUAGAUACCCUGGUAGUCCACGCUGUAAACGAUGAAUACUAGGUGUGGGGGGACUGACCCCCUCCGUGCCGCAGUUAACACAAUAAGUAUUCCACCUGGGGAGUACGAUCGCAAGACUGAAACUCAAAUGAAUUGACGGGG
rnacentral:rRNA from 1 species